CCUGACGACAAUUGCGAGGUGGAACCACCCUUUCCCAUCCCGAACAGGACCGUGAAACGCCUUUGCGCCGAUGAUAGUAAUCAUUUCGAUUGUGAAAGUAGGAAAUCGUCAGGC
rnacentral:rRNA from 1 species